rnacentral:rRNA from 1 species
GACGAACGCUGGCGGCGUGCUUAACACAUGCAAGUCGAACGGUAAGGCUCCAGCUUGCUGGGGUACACGAGUGGCGAACGGGUGAGUAACACGUGGGUGACCUGCCCUGCACUUCGGGAUAAGCCUGGGAAACUGGGUCUAAUACCGGAUAGGACCGCACCGUGAGGGUGUGGUGGAAAGUUUUUUCGGUGUGGGAUGGGCCCGCGGCCUAUCAGCUUGUUGGUGGGGUAGUGGCCUACCAAGGCGGCGACGGGUAGCCGGCCUGAGAGGGUGGACGGCCACAUUGGGACUGAGACACGGCCCAGACUCCUACGGGAGGCAGCAGUGGGGAAUAUUGCACAAUGGGCGGAAGCCUGAUGCAGCGACGCCGCGUGGGGGAUGACGGCCUUCGGGUUGUAAACUCCUUUCACCAUCGACGAAGGGUUUCUGACGGUAGAUGGAGAAGAAGCACCGGCUAACUACGUGCCAGCAGCCGCGGUAAUACGUAGGGUGCGAGCGUUGUCCGGAAUUACUGGGCGUAAAGAGCUCGUAGGUGGUUUGUCGCGUCGUCUGUGAAAUUCCGGGGCUUAACUCCGGGCGUGCAGGCGAUACGGGCAUAACUUGAGUACUGUAGGGGAGACUGGAAUUCCUGGUGUAGCGGUGAAAUGCGCAGAUAUCAGGAGGAACACCGGUGGCGAAGGCGGGUCUCUGGGCAGUAACUGACGCUGAGGAGCGAAAGCAUGGGGAGCGAACAGGAUUAGAUACCCUGGUAGUCCAUGCCGUAAACGGUGGGCGCUAGGUGUGGGUUUCCUUCCACGGGAUCCGUGCCGUAGCUAACGCAUUAAGCGCCCCGCCUGGGGAGUACGGCCGCAAGGCUAAAACUCAAAGGAAUUGACGGGGGCCCGCACAAGCGGCGGAGCAUGUGGAUUAAUUCGAUGCAACGCGAAGAACCUUACCUGGGCUUGACAUAUACAGGAUCGCGCCAGAGAUGGUGUUUCCCUUGUGGCUUGUAUACAGGUGGUGCAUGGUUGUCGUCAGCUCGUGUCGUGAGAUGUUGGGUUAAGUCCCGCAACGAGCGCAACCCUUGUCUUAUGUUGCCAGCACGUUGUGGUGGGGACUCGUAAGAAACUGCCGGGGUUAACUCGGAGGAAGGUGGGGAUGACGUCAAAUCAUCAUGCCCCUUAUGUCCAGGGCUUCACACAUGCUACAAUGGUCGGUACAGUGGGUUGCCAGUCCGUGAGGGCGAGCUAAUCCCGCAAAGCCGGUCUCAGUUCGGAUCGGGGUCUGCAACUCGACCCCGUGAAGUCGGAGUCGCUAGUAAUCGCAGAUCAGCAACGCUGCGGUGAAUACGUUCCCGGGCCU